CCGAGAUUGGCUUGCCGUUAUGGAAUAAGACAGGUAUCUUCUUGUGAACUGGGUUGGAGUUGAGGAGAAGAUCGCUCUUGUUCAAAAGGUCUUCUUCCACAUAGUCGAACUGUAAGCCUUUCAGUUUGAGGACCAAUUCGAUCCUGCCGCUGAACGGACUAGCCCACAUUCCAAGUAGCUUGAUUUGGUCCCCCAUUUUUCUUGGAUCUCAGUACUACUAAUGAGGCCAUUCGCAUUAAAUGCCUUGGCUGACUGAGUACUGCGCAAGUAAAUCUGCAUCUGUCAUGGCUGACGCAAAUUAUUUUGAUUUGGUUUGUGGAGAAAGUCUUGGAUAUUGACGAGUUAAAAGACUCGAGAUUGUUCCGACGUCGAGAAACUCCUUUCAUUUCACCGGAAAGACUGAUCUUGAUGUCGAGAGUUCGAGGCUCUCUCACCUCAACGAUUACUUUCUUACAAUUUGCUACAUUCUUAUUUCUCACCCAGUUUAAGGAACAUGGCAUCGGCCAUACCAAAUUAAUGAGCGUCAUAUUACAAACAAUUAUAAUCUAUUAUUAAUAUAGAGUUCAUCGAUUAACACAAUUUUAAUUCAUUUUCGAAUUACCUUCUUCUCAAAUUAGUCAUCACCAAGUAGCCAAGUAGGGAGUUUUUUUUUACCAAAAUAAAAAAUGGGGUUUCUUAUCUUAUUCCUUUCAGCAUGUACUAAUAUUUGGAUAAAAGUUGUUGGUUUUGUUGAUUUAAUGCGUAUAGGUUGUCGAUGGGCUAAUCGGAUCAAACGGAUCAAAUGUUCUCUUAUAUAUUUAGCGGGUUUAUUUUUAUUUUUUUUUAUUGAUUGCAACAAAAUUAUCCCUCUCGUUUGUUAAAAUAACAAUUGAGUCCGGAUUUGGGAUUCCAUCUAAACAGCUGUUAACUCGGUCGACAUGGCAGAGCUGAAUCGACAACAUCGGUCCACGUGGCACUUUAUACCACUUAGCUAGCGGGCUAAUUAUGGAAUUGUUAGAGUAUACGAAACGUCUACCAAAAUCCUUACAUUUUCUUCAAUUUUGGUGACGGAUUUGGGUAAUGGUUCAUUCGGUUUAAAUGGGGAACCACUAGCUAAGUGGUACAAAGUGCCAUGUUGACCAAUGUUGCUGACUCAUCUCUGCCACGUCGACCAAACUAACGUCCGUUUAGACGGGUGGCCAAAUUCGGACUUAAUUGUUAUUUCAACAAACGAGAGGAACAGUUUUGUUGCAAUCGAUACGAACGAGACUAAAAUGAACCCGCUAGAUAUAUAAGAGACAAUUUAGCCUGAUUAACCGUUGUUGACGAGCAGAGUUGAGCUUCAUCAAAUUUAAGUUGCGCUUGUAGUAUUUUUAACGACCUCCAACAUCAGAUUUAUGAAAAAAUCACAAAUAAAGCAUAAUCUAGCCGUAAAAUAUAUGAUUUGCCCGAUAAUAUCGACAGAACUUGACUCAAUUUUCAAAUGAACUUAACAGAAUAGGAUCAACUUUGACAUUAACCGUUAGAAUUCACGUAAAAUACGAUGGCAUGGAGAAAUGCUUUUCUGCCACGUAGGACUCCACGUCAGCAAAAAAAAACAUUUCUGCGGCUGUAGAAACUGGCCCAGGUUCCAAGUAGCUUGAUUUCCUCUGCCAUUUUCUCUUGAUUUUUCUCAUCCGUGGAGCAAAGAAGCCUAUACACGUGCAGGAGUCGAAGUUCAGUGCAUUGGAGCUAAAUGGGGAAACGUCAUGGCUGACAUCACAGAUCUUAUGGGACCUCUUAUCUAGAUAUUCUACCUUAUGCUGUGCGACAUCAAUAAUGCCAAUCACACUACAACUCUGAAACCGACCCGAAUUGCUUCGAUCUGGUUCAGGCAAAUCGUCGAGCACAUCGUGUGCACAAGUUAAGAAAUCCUAACAGAGAAAUCGGAAUCAAAACCACGCAACUCAGCAAUUUCUCAUUCGCAAAGCCAACAUAAUCUUUAUCACAAGAUUAAGCUACAAUAGGAAGGUAUUACACUGGCGAUGGUGGUGUCCUAACUUUUAAUUAAGCUGAUUUUGCUUUGGAAGCAGCAGCUUCCAAAAGGAAGGCACGAACAGAUCGGACGUAAUCAAGAUACUUAUCCCUCGGCGGCAGGCAUCCAAUCACAACGUCGUGGUCUUGGAGCUUCUCCAUCCAUUUAAACAAUACAGGGAACUUCUCUUUGGUCAACACAUCUGCUCCCGAAACUUCCUCCAACGCUCCAAGCCCGUUCAAGAUGUAGAACGCGGCAAUGUCCACAAAUCCGAUCCUUUCCCCUCCGAAAUAUUCCUUUCCCUUCAGCUCCCCCUCCAGAUACCUCACUUGCUGGGUGAAUUCCUCAAUCCCGUCCUCUUGUUCUUUGUCCCCCUUCCCUAUGAAUGCCUUGAACGACGUCUCCAACACCUGCAAAAAGCAUUAUUCCGUUAGUUAGAAAUCGCCAGAUAAUGAACGAGGAAGAGAGACGACACAAAUGAUUUGGAUUUUUCUUACUUUUUCGUCAACGAACUUGGCCCAGAAGCGAGCAACGGCUCUGUCGUAGGGAUCUUGAGGCAGGAUUGAGUAGCUUGAUGAUCCCCAAGUAUCGUCGAUGUACUCGAUGAUGACGAGGGAUUCCGAGAUUGGCUUGCCGUUGUGGAACAAGACAGGGACCUUGUUGUGAACUGGGUUGGAGUUGAGGAGGAGAUCGCUCUUGUUGGCAAGGUUUUCU
rnacentral:lncRNA from 1 species